AGUGAACGCUGGCGGCAGGCCUAACACAUGCAAGUCGAACGGCAGCGCAGCAGUAGCAAUACUGUGGGCGGCGAGUGGCGGACGGGUGAGGAAUACAUCGGAAUCUACCCUGUCGUGGGGGAUAACGUAGGGAAACUUACGCUAAUACCGCAUACGACCCACGGGUGAAAGCGGCGGACCGCAAGGCGUCGCGCGAUUGGAUGAGCCGAUGUCCGAUUAGCUAGUUGGCGGGGUAAAGGCCCACCAAGGCGACGAUCGGUAGCUGGUCUGAGAGGAUGAUCCGCCACACUGGAACUGAGACACGGUCCAGACUCCUACGGGAGGCAGCAGUGGGGAAUAUUGGACAAUGGGCGCAAGCCUGAUCCAGCCAUGCCGCGUGUGUGAAGAAGGCCUUCGGGUUGUAAAGCACUUUUGUUGGGGAAGAAAAGGCGCCGGUUAAUACCCGGUGUUUCUGACGGUACCCAAAGAAUAAGCACCGGCUAACUUCGUGCCAGCAGCCGCCGUAAUAC
rnacentral:rRNA from 1 species